GGCUGCCGAACUAAGCUGCGUUUUGAUUUUGGGCAGGGACUGAAUGGCUAUGCUGGACCUGUACUUCCACCUGCAACUGGACUGGCUCCCAAGUGCUGUCUGCUUUGAUGUCACGGCGCCCGUUGACCGCUUCCGCUCACGGCUUUGCCUCGAAUAAUGCAAAUCCUAUAAAUGCGCCUAACGCUGCUGGCGGUCUCUUCGCGUGCGUUAUUCACUCCAAUGGAAAAUGGCGGCAGGCACGUUUUGUUUUUAGAUUGUGCCCUAACUCGAGCUGCAUCAACUUUUGACUGCAGUUGAGGAAAAUACACAUACCAUAUGUUCUGUUAGGAAUACCAAGUUUUACAGAGUCCCCAAAAGAAUCCUAUAUGCUCUGCUCUGGAAAGGGCAUCCAAAGUGCUGUUAAUUGUUAGAGAUAAAUGUUUUGCUUUGUUUCGUUUGAUUUGCAGUUGCUUUGGUUGUCGUUUUCAUUGCUGUCGCUGUGGCUGUUGCUGUUGCUGUUGCCGGGACUAUUGUUGUUGCUCUUCCGCCUGCACACCUUGCCACGCCGGUGGCAGCUGCAUUCAGGAAUGGGCUGUACCCCCAGAUCAUCCACUGUCUCUGGUGGGACGCAAAGUCUGUUUGUUAUUUAGUGUUCACGGAAUCGUUUAGCCCUCCCCCGUCUGCUGCUGAAUUUUGUAUUGUUUGAAACUAUUAUUUUUUUAUUUUUGGCUCUGUUUGCACGCUUUUCACCUUAUAAAUGUUUACACAUCACUGCGAA